GCUUGUCUCAAAGAUUAAGCCAUGCAUGUCUAAGUGUAAACAAUUUUAUACAGUGAAACUGCGAAUGGCUCAUUAAAUCAGUUAUAGUUUAUUUGAUAGUACCUUACUACUUGGAUAACCGUGGUAAUUCUGCAGCUAAUACAUGCGUUAAAUCCCGACUUUUUUGGAAGGGAUGUACUUAUUAGAUUAAAACCAAACGGCUUCGGCCGUCUCAUUGGUGACUCUGAAUAACUUUGGGCUGAUCGUAUGGCCUUGUGCCGACGACGUUUCCUUCGAAGGUGUGCCCUAUCAACUGUCGACUGUGAUAUAGACGCUCACAGUGGUUUUGACGGGUAACGGGGAAUCAGGGUUCGAUUCCGGAGAGGGAGCCUUAAAAACGGCUACCACAUCCAAGGAAGGCAGCAGG
rnacentral:rRNA from 1 species